rnacentral:rRNA from 1 species
AUUGAACGCUGGCGGCAGGCCUAACACAUGCAAGUCGAGCGGAUGAAGGGAGCUUGCUCCUGGAUUCAGCGGCGGACGGGUGAGUAAUGCCUAGGAAUCUGCCUGGUAGUGGGGGAUAACGUCCGGAAACGGGCGCUAAUACCGCAUACGUCCUGAGGGAGAAAGUGGGGGAUCUUCGGACCUCACGCUAUCAGAUGAGCCUAGGUCGGAUUAGCUAGUUGGUGGGGUAAAGGCCUACCAAGGCGACGAUCCGUAACUGGUCUGAGAGGAGGAUCAGUCACACUGGAACUGAGACACGGUCCAGACUCCUACGGGAGGCAGCAGUGGGGAAUAUUGGACAAUGGGCGAAAGCCUGAUCCAGCCAUGCCGCGUGUGUGAAGAAGGUCUUCGGAUUGUAAAGCACUUUAAGUUGGGAGGAAGGGCAGUAAGUUAAUACCUUGCUGUUUUGACGUUACCAACAGAAUAAGCACCGGCUAACUUCGUG